rnacentral:rRNA from 1 species
CACGUAGGGCGCAAGCGUUGUCCGGAAUUAUUGGGCGUAAAGGGCUCGUAGGCGGUUUGUCGCGUCGGGAGUGAAAUCCACUGGCUUAACUGGUGGCUUGCUUUCGAUACGGGCAGACUGGAGGUAUGCAGGGGAGAACGGAAUUCCUGGUGUAGCGGUGAAAUGCGCAGAUAUCAGGAGGAACACCGGUGGCGAAGGCGGUUCUCUGGGCAUGUCCUGACGCUGAGGAGCGAAAGCGUGGGGAGCGAACAGG